rnacentral:rRNA from 1 species
AAGCUAGCGGCAGACUAACACAUGCAAGUCGAGGGGUAGAAGGAGCUUGCUCCUUUGAGACCGGCGCACGGGUGCGUAACGCGUAUGCAAUCUACCUUGUACAGGGGAAUAGCCCAGAGAAAUUUGGAUUAAUGCCCCAUAGUAUAUAACCUUCGCAUGUUGGUUAUAUUAAAGUUCCAACGGUACAAGAUGAGCAUGCGUCCCAUUAGUUAGUUGGUAAGGUAACGGCUUACCAAGACGAUGAUGGGUAGGGGUCCUGAGAGGGAGAUCCCCCACACUGGUACUGAGACACGGACCAGACUCCUACGGGAGGCAGCAGUGAGGAAUAUUGGUCAAUGGUCGCAAGACUGAACCAGCCAUGCCGCGUGCAGGAAGACGGUCCUAUGGAUUGUAAACUGCUUUUAUACAGGAAGAAACCCUCCCACGUGUGGGAGCUUGACGGUACUGUAGGAAUAAGGAUCGGCUAACUCCGUGCCAGCAGCCGCGGUAAUACGGAGGAUCCAAGCGUUAUCCGGAAUCAUUGGGUUUAAAGGGUCCGUAGGCGGUCUUAUAAGUCAGUGGUGAAAGCCCAUCGCUCAACGAUGGAACUGCCAUUGAUACUGUAAGACUUGAAUGCUUAGGAAGUAACUAGAAUAUGUAGUGUAGCGGUGAAAUGCUUAGAUAUUACAUGGAAUACCAAUUGCGAAGGCAGGUUACUACUAAGUGAUUGACGCUGAUGGACGAAAGCGUGGGGAGCGAACAGGAUUAGAUACCCUGGUAGUCCACGCCGUAAACGAUGGAUACUAGCUGUUCGGCGCAAGUUGAGUGGCUAAGCGAAAGUGAUAAGUAUCCCACCUGGGGAGUACGCACGCAAGUGUGAAACUCAAAUGAAUUGACGGAAGGGCGAAUUCCAGCAC